rnacentral:lncRNA from 1 species
GGGAGGGAUUUAGCUGUGGUUCGAUUUCCUCUUUAGCUCUCUCUGUUUUCUCCCCCUUGUGCCAGUAUGGCGAUGAAGGGGUUAAUUCUGGGUGAGCUACAUGUUGGGUGUUAAUAAGGUACUUGUUCCCUGUCCCCAAUAGAGAAAGGGCUGCUGGCCGAAACGUGUCACAUGGCCGCAGCAUGCACAAUACCCUCCCAGGACAAACUAGCUGAGCUGGAAACAUAGCUGACUUAGCAAAUGGCCCCUGUUUGGCUUUUUUGGGGCUAAAACCUGCUAUAUCCCAAGGGUUAGCCACUACAUUCUGAUUUCUCGAGAAUUCAAAGGAGUUUAUUUGUUAAAUAUUGAGAAUUUACAGUUCUCCAGGAUUCCAUAAACACUGGACUUUGGUGAGCUAAAUGUGGUCAUGUGGUAGGUCUGGCAAACAGUUUAUGUUUAUAUAUAUAUAUAUAUAUAUAUAUAUAUAUAUAUAUAUUUAUAAUAAUCCAAUGGUAUGUUUACCAAAUUUUAAUGUGUUACUGUGCUCUGUUUAGACUAUAAACUAAUUUUAAUUGGAUUAUAUGCCUGAUUUACACCUUGUACAGCACUCUGGAAUACGGUGUUGCCUUUAUAAAUAAUCAUUUGCAGUAGCUACAAUAAUGGCAUGUGUUGACUCUGCCACCAAGUAACCUAGGCCAUAUCUACCUCAGUAAUAUCAUUUGGUGAUUGCACAUAUUUGCUGUAACACCAUCACUUGGCACCAUAACUGACUAACUGGACACCUGAGUAUCCCAAAGUGGGACCGUUGUAGAGUUAUAUUUUAAAAUGGAGCAGAUAUAGUGACCAGGGCUUUUUAAAAAAAAUAUUUAUUUUUUAUUAGAUAAUUUUGAAAGUAUGUAGCGCUGUACAAUAGAAAGCAGGACAAAUGUAAUUUUUUUUUUCUUACAAAAAGAAAGAGCGGUAAAAAUGCAUUCGACACAGAUUUGCGGUGAGUUGAAAACCGAACUGCAAAAUGUAAUUUAAAUUGUCUGGUUUGGUAAACUCGUCAUUUAGUCUCAGCCUGACUAUGUUAGCAUGAAAUUGGCAAUUGUCUUUCAGUCUGAUGUUUAGUAAAAAAAAUGCUGUAAAUAAUUAUAACGCCACUAUACAUGCGUAUUCAAAAGUGCAAUUUUACUAUGGUGCUAACAUUCAGAGGACUGAGAUGCGAAUGCGCCUCCUAAUGACAAAAUUCAGGGAAAAUCCCCAUUUUCAACCAGAAAUUUAUUAUUCCGACAAUAGGUAAAGAUAAUUUGGUGUCAGGUGCGGUGAUUAUUGUCCAGUUAGCCACCUGCUAAAAAGAAGUCUGGCAUCUGUCAAGGAAAUAAUGCUCACAUUUUUAUUGAGUUAUUUAAUUUUACAAAGACAUAUAGAACUACUGUUAAUCUGGAGGUACUCCGCAAAAUGGCCUCUCCUGUUCCCUCCCAACAUGAAUGGCAAUUUGAGGGAUAAUUUUCCAAGAAAAUGGGCCUGCUGUAAUAUGGGAACCCCAUACAUCUUCUCUAAUGUGUGGAUAAUAUAACCAUAAUCUAUAAACACAAUUACAUCCCUCGUGCAGUGCAUUAAAGGGUUACUCCAAGCACCAUAACAACUUCAGUGGUUAUGGUGCUUGGAGUCUAUAUGUGUAGAGCUUUACUUUGAAACACCGCACAUACAGACUCCAUCUCCGGCAGCAUCAUUACAAAAGUUCCCGGUGGCUAUUGUAAAUUCUGUGUCUAUUGGAAGUUUGAAGUCCGCUAUAUAUAAACUUAUACACCCCUCAGUUACCCAAAAUACACCAGCACGGCCACUCCAAACACCUCUAUGUCACACAAAAUAUACCUGCACCUCUGCUAGUGAACGCCCCCCCCAAAAAAAAUACACACACCACCACCCCCCUCCCCUCGCUCCCUUGCUACACAUGUCAUGCUUUCCCUGACAUCCGUUCCCGUACAGCGCUAUGGAAUUUGAUGGCACUAUAUAAAUAAUAAAAUAACCAGUGUUGGAACAGAGUUUUAGCUAUAUUUCAGAUAUUUUGAAAUUCACUUUACCUUAAUGGGGUUGUUUACUAAAUUGAGAAUUGAAAGUCAAUUUUAAAUUCAAGGGCAUUUUGCUUGUUUAAUACACUAUCUUUGGAGUGUCCAAACAUGGCCCCACGACUGUUGUUUGGCCGGUAGAGAAUUGUAUAGAAAUGUUGUCCAACCGAAGCAGCAGUUGGGGAGGCCACAUUUGGACAUCCUGGACCAAUCGAGUCGUGGGUCACGUACCCAGCAUGCUGUGUUCUGUCAAUGUAUAUAGUUCUUUUAGAUGUUUAUUUUAUCUAUAAGCUUCCACUGCCAACAGUGAUCCUGUGUCUAAAGUGUUGAGCACACGGUUUUUGUCUCCAGUAGGUGUUAAUGUAAAUAAUAUUCCAACGCAAAAUGUCGUAAUCACACAAAUGCAAAUACUGGGUGAGGUUUGAGAUUGUAGACGCUGUUAAUUCUGGAGAACCGUAGUCUUUGACCUGAUCUCGCCUUCGCUAACAGGCGGACACUGCUAGACAAAUCCGGAUUGUAGACAUGUAGAAUCUUAGACAGAUGUUCUUUAGCAUGGUUGAAAUCCAUCUCUCAAGCUGGAAUUCUGUAGCAGCUUUUCAGAGAGCCAGCCAAAGCAUGAAAAGCAUUAAAGAAAACUGUCAUGUCUGGAAUUUACAUCUUUGAAAACAUAGAAAAUCACCUGUAACUUGUUUUAACCUUUUUUUUCCCACUUAGAUGCUCUGUUUUCUUAGAAAUUUGUAAUAAAGAGACACUGUUAUCCUCUCCCCCCUCCCACUGACAAUUAGAAUUUCAUAUAAAGGUAGAAUCUUCAUGACAUACUUAUUAAGACUCUUAGAAUGUCACUGAAAUUCCACCCAGAGAUAUACAGAGACAAAGUUGGGACUGCUUUGUCUCUGUAUUUCUCCUCCGCCUGACUUUCUUUGACAUAAGGAGGAGCCUAAGUGUCAAUCCCUGCAGCCGUUAUCAGUGACAGCUGCAGGGAAUUGGCUGUGUCUAUGGAGGAUGGUUCCCCUUGCGCAUGAGCGAGAGUACGGCAGUGAUGUCUGUGCUGCGAAUGACCAGGCUGCCCUAAGAUGGCGGCACCUACGAAGGACAGGUUCAGGUAAGAAAAACAUACCUUCAGCUUCUCCGAUCGGCCACCAGACUCCCAGCGGCGAUGUCACUGUCGAGGAACUUUGCAAAUUCGGCAAAUUACCCAAACGGUGACAGUGCCGCUUUAAAGUUUUAAUAAAUUACACCAUAAUCCAGUUCAGACAAGGCAAAGCUAGGACAAACAUUGCAAAUGAAGACGAGAAAUAGAAACAUUGUACAAUUUCUCCUCUCUCCUGUAUGCUGUCUCUAUGGUGACUGCCAGGUGGAAACAUAGUUUUAACUGUGAUUGGCAGGGAGGACACUAUAGGCACCCAGAACACUUCAUCUCAUUGAAGUGGUCUGGGUGCAGUGUCCCAGGUUUAGAUAAGCUGCAAUGUUUAUAUUGCAGGGUUAAGACUGCCUCUACUGUCUCCCGGACAGCCACGAGAGGUGCUUCCUGCAUUUCCAGAGAGUUUAACUCCGUAAAGCGACACUGGAUAUCCUGACGCUGUGCAUGAGAAUGUCCAUCAUCUUCAAAAAUUUAUUGAAUUCUUGUCUGUGGGGAAGGGCUUACGCGAGCCACACUCGACAUACAUGUGCAUUAGCUUUUCCCCAUUGCUGACGUCAGAGGAGACAGCCAGUACUGUGGGACCUCUGCGCUGGAAAUAGGUAAGUGUCUCAAUGUUUUGUUUUAACCCUUUCAACACCCAGGGGGGAGGGAGGGCAGACAAUAGGUUUAUGGUUGAGAGACACUAUAAUGUUAGGAAUACACUUUUGUGUUACUAACGCUAUAGUGUUCUUUUUAGGAUGGAGGCCUCAAUGGAGAGUUCAUAUUUCUGGAGCAGAGAAUUAGACUGGACCCAAUUACAAAAUUAGUAUUUGUGUUUCUGUUCUCUUGGGCCUAAAAGACCCCAUCUGCAACUAGACUCUGCAAACAUGUUUUAAAAUGCUUUCAUCCUGCAUUAAAAACUGGAAGAACUAAGAAUGUAUACAAUCCAUCCUUACAAGCAAGAAGAGAAAUACAGAGUGUAUUGAAUUACCUUUAGCACUUUGGGUGUUUGGAUGCUAUUUCCCAUAAGGCUUAGCCAGUCCAGGAAGGAUAUCUAUAACGCCAUAGUCCGUCAUCUUUAAAAAAUGGCUUUAUUAUUAAGCAAAACUGUCAUUUCUGGGGUACAGAAUAUCCACGGAUAAUUCAUAAGCGCCACUUGCACCUCACCAAAUGCACCGUCAGGUGUGGGAUGACCCCUCAGAAAGUUAUCAGACAGAAGUUCGAGCUCCAGAGCUUCAAACAUUAAUAUUAUGAACAAUGGAAUCAAUAGAGCCUGACUUUGUGAGAAGGUAAAUUAAUCUUAUUUAAAAGAUGUCAUCUUCUGUACCUAGUCAAACAAAUAUUCAUACGUUCAGCAUUCAUUGUAUGUAAUAUCAUUCAAAAUUGGUUCAUUAUUAAAAAAGUUAUGGACUCCUCAACCCCUACUCAGAAUUUUGGCCCACCUUGUACAAACAGUAGACAUAAGCAUCUGGAGUUGGAAGUAAAGACCACCCAAAAAAGGAUCGUGAAAAUGAGUAUAAAAAUCAGAAAUUGGUAAAACAAGAUGUCCAUAUCUGUCUGCCUACAGCAGAAAUUGCUGGGCACAUGUUGUUAUAACCAAAACACAACCUGAAGUCAGAGAGGACAAGCCAGUACAUCAAAGGUUCUGGGGGCUCUGUGCACCUUCUAAAGGCUGUCCCACAAAAUGCAUGAUACAUAUCAUACAUGUAUGGAAUAUUUUAAUUGCAGGAUACAUGUGGUAUGGAUGCAGGGGUGAAGAGAGGAGAGGCAGUUGUCAAUAUCUGAGAGGGGAGAUGUUGGUGCCUGAAAAGAACUUGUACGUCCUGUUGUGAAUCAAAAAAUCAAAAGCCAUUCUACAGCUGUGGCAGCUCUGUAGGCUUUCAAAAAAGAGUGGGAGUGCUGCUGGUGUACAAUACUCAAAUGUAGAUGUCACGUGACAGCGUCAACAUAUAUGGAGCAGAGAGGACUGGUUCAGACCUGUUCCCACAUUCUGCUUUUCAGUAGCAAAGCUGAGACUCUUUUGUGACAGUGUAGCACACACACACAGACACUAGUAACUGGUCAUGUUUGCGUUUUGCCUUUCAUGGAUGGGGCAAAGUUUUAGCAAACUCAUCACCUCAAUCUCUCCAAAUAGCUUUAAUCAUGUAUACGUCCUUACAUUGCCAUUCCACCAUGACCUGUAUUUUGUAUAUUGUUGUAUGAUAGGCCCACACACAGCCAUCCAACAUACCACAGACUUCCAAGGCAGGAUCCGUCAAUUUACCAGGGGUAUGAAACCAUGGUUGGGGGCAGUGAUCUAUAUCAAACAAUUGAGAAAAAUCACUAAAAUAUUUCAUUAUGGAGUGUUACAUUGAUUCUUUUAAAUAAAGCCUGAUUUUUAAACUCUAUAAGAAAUAUUUUACUUUUUUUUUUUUAAUUAUACAAAUGAAAAAAAUGAACCAAAACCAAGCAUUUAAACAUUGUAUAAAUACUAAUAAAUUAAUAUAUUUUUUAUUUUUGUUUAGAAAAAAAAGCAAAUAUAAUGACUUGAAAUACACAGAAUAUCAUCAGAUAAAUAGUAAAACAAACUACAUGAUUGUAUAAGAAUGGAAAAGACACAAAGAAGGUUUAUGUUGUUGAAAAAAAGGUUAAUAUUGGCCUAGCAUAUGUGCACUGUUGGGAAGAGUUGGCUGGAUAGCGUAAGGAAAUACAACUUUUAUUCACUUUUUACAACUGUGAAAUGUGCGUCGAGGGCGUCAGUGAUUUUUGUGACUAUUUCUAUUUUGAAGAAGAGAUAUGUCAUACACAGUCACAUAUCUCAGCAGAUAAGGUCAUGUGCAGAGAAUCUAUCUAAACGUAAAAUUCAUUUUUCAUCCAAAUGUACCCACACAUACUAAUCUUUUUCAAGGUUGUUCGGGAAUUUCAAAUUUAGGCAAAAAAAAUUCUUAGUCUGCUAUGCUUCCAAUUUAGCUACCCUGUUUGAAAAAAAAUAACAUUUCUGACCCUAUCAUUUGUCAAUUCUUGGUGUUCAAUCUGGAGAGCACUUGAUGUCCUGAUAACAGCAGUUGGACACCGGCCAUUUGGCCAAAGGAACCUAUCAAAAUAUAUAUAUAAAUAUAUUGUUAUUUUAUUGACAAGUGAUAGGAAAAUAAGGCAGUAAUGGCUGUCCAAAUGCAUAUCCUCUUGCACAGGCUGAGACUCCAAAAGGACAUUUAAAUUCAACCAGUUCUGCUAGCACAAAGGAAAAAUUCUAUGGAAUGCAGAUAUUUAUUCCACAACCUCACACUAAUUUACUUUUUUAAUAUCCAGUCAUUCCAGGUCUCCUACCUAUUCACCAAUUUCCACAAAACGUAAAAGGGACACACUGAGGCCUCAAUUUAAUUUUUCUGGAUAAGCUUUUCGUAUGAUCACAAUCUGUUGGAAAAACUUUUUAACUGAUUGAUCUACAGAAAUCCCCAUAGACUUUAAUGGUGACUUCUCUAGGUAAAUAAUUUGAAAAGAUUUUCUAACAGAUUCUGAUCAUUUGAAAAAGCAUUUCCAAAAUAAUUAAAUCAAGGCCACAAUACCAUAAACACUAAAACUGUGAAAAACGUAACUGAAGUAUUACUUCCAUCUGCUAUCUAGUUUCAACAAUUUGCAACAGUUCUUUGUUUAAUUAGUAGGCGAGGGUGUACAAAGACGAAUCAUUAAUAUAUUUAUAUCGGUGUAUUCUCUAAUAUUGAGUUAUGGUAAACUGACAACCAAACUGUCAAUCUGUUGUUUUGGUUUCCCCCCUCCCCCCUCAAUAGCAUUGUUAGAAAAACUCAAUGCGCCAGUUUACUUAAAUAGCCCCAGCCUACUUAUUUGCCGUAUAAAGUCUGCUUGUUAAUUAGACUGAGGCACAGUCACAAGCGCUGCUGAUAAACGGGUUUAUUUUGGGAUUCUCUAGGGAUCCCUCCAGUUUUGAAAACAGAAAAAGGAAAUGAAGGCUGCGAGAGAACACACUGAGAAGGAAAGACACACAUUAGUGACAGAAUGACAAAAGGACAGCCCUAGGAACUAAGGAAGAGGGACAGCGAGGGGGGUGAUGGAUAGAGGAGAGGGGGUCAGACAUAGGAAGAAGGGGAGAAAAGUUUUGAAUAGACAUUACCUAGUGGACUGUGGUGAAUUGCAAUCUAUUCAAAUAAUUUGGCCUACUUUUUAAAACGCCAUUUUUAAUGCAUCUCAACUGUAUAAUGAAUAGACUAUAGUGAGUUUAUUUAUAAAGAAAUGUAUUGAUGUGAUGGUAGAGAGGUGUAGGUUAUUUAAAGUGACUCUGUUCAGCCAAAUAGGACAGUGAUGUUUUAUUGUGUUCCUAACUGUAUCUAUAUAAAUUGAUAGCCAUGUAGCUAAUACAUGUGUAACAAAAACAGAACACGAGAACGGGCAAAAGAGUUGCACUUCGGUUAGUCGCCGACCAGGUCUCGAAAUGUUUUUUCUCACCUGUACCAUUACAAAGAGAAGCUGUACCAUUUGCAUAUCAGACUGAUCCCACCUAUAAGGGCAGUCCAGAUCCCAAGUGACGGCAGGUUCUCUCUGCAGCAACCCCAGACCAUUAUUUUGGCCUUCUUUUGGCCUCGUUAAUGAGAUGUAAAUAGGACCUCUAGGCCCGGCGAACACCGGAUCCACGUCUGGGUUACCCUUUUAGCUUAGGGAGAGCUUAAACAAAUGCAUAGCAAAAAACAGAGACUAUGAGAUCUCUAAGAACAGGCAAAAGCUUAGAGAAACACAGUAGCUUGACCUUAGGUUAGUCAGGUCUCAAAAUGAUUUUCCUCACUUGUUCCAUUCCAAAGAGAACCUGCAUUAUUUGCAUAUCAGGCUGAUAACCAAAAAUAAAAAACACUAAAUAGUCCUUUGAUCCAGUCCAUUGCAGCAGCCAUCUUAGAAGCAGAUGAAUUAAUAUUCUCUCUGUGCACAAUCUAGAGCAGGGGUAGGCAACCUUUUAGCAGCACUGGGCCGAUAUGGGAUUGUGAUGUCCCGAAGUGUGCCGGUCCUAUUUUUUUAAAUUGAGGUGUGUAUGCUGCCGUAUUCUGCUUGUUAUUUUUACUGCAGUUGCUUUGUAUCGUUGUAUUUGUGCGUAUAUGAGCUAUUAUAUUGUAUAUGUUCAUUAGUAGUUUAUGGUAUUGUGUAUGAUACAUAUGAAUGUGGGCUGUAUAUGGGGGCUGCUGUGGAAUUGUGUGUGUGUGUGUGUGUGUGUGAGGAUGGAUAUGUCACAUUGUGUGUUUCGUAGUGUGUGGGGGCUGUUUAGGGUAUUGCAUGUGAGAGCCUGCAUGUGGGGUUGUGUGCAUGUAUGUGGAUUGUUAGUGGUGUUGCGUUUGUGUGGAUUGUUUGUGGGCUGUUCGUAUUAUUUGUGUGAUGGGAGGGUUAUUCUGCAUUUCUGUGUAUAUCUAGCAGUGUGGGUGGCUUCCCUGGGUUCCAGUGGGGACCAGGCUAGCCAGAUACAGGUCAAGGACAGGAGCUGCAACAGCAACUGCAGGCUGCUCUACUACAGUGUGGAUUCCUAAUUAGGGAUAUCGAUAUUAGUUUUUAACCAUUACCUAACCAGGGAUAUCAAUAUUAGUUUUUAACCAUUACUAUUAAAGGUUACAUUUUAAUAUAAUUUGGGCACUCAUCUCUCGUUUCUAUACUACUACUUCUCUAGCCCUUGCGUUAACCACUAUUUUGAGUGUUCCCCUAGCUUCCACCUUCCUGCUUUGUUCUUACAGUGUGGAUUCCGAUUUACAAGUGCUGGGAGGAAGGGAUCUGAGAUCACUCACUCUAUGUGCUGCAAUGCAUACAUUGAGGAUUGUCCUUCACCACCUCUUCGUAUUAGCAGAUAUCUGAGGUUUUACUGGGACUCCUGAUAGGCCAGAGCCUGUUUGGCUCUAGCAGCCUUGAGUGCCGUGCAAAGACACCUUGAGUGCCGUGCAUGGCACUAGUGCCGUAGGUUGCCUACCCCUGAUCUAGAGACUGAAUUUGUUUACCCAUAUGAAGAAUAUCUUGUCACUUACAUGUGUUAUGUUUACCAGAAUCUAUUUAACACAUUUUUCAUAUUCAUAAUAGAUUUGUAAAAAUAUUCCUGUUACAGUUUAGUGAAAUGUAGCUCUUCUCCUACAUUUGCUCCAUGUUAUAAAGAAAACACAUGUAGCUACUAAGCUCAUACAUUGAAAAAGUCUAAUUAAGAGUAGAGAAAAUGUAAGAGUAGGAUAAGACAGAAAUAUACACGGGGUAAAUCUCACUAAGUGAGAAUUCAAGGUGAAUUCAAAAUUUAAAGGCACACUAUAGUCACCAGAACAACUUCAGCUUAACAAAGCAGUUUUUGAGUAUAGAUCAUGCUGCUGAAGUUUUACUGCUCAAAUUCACUGCCAUUUAGAAGUUGAAUCAUUUUUGUUUCAUUUAUACAGCCUUAGGCACACCUCCCCUGGCAGUGACUGACACAGCCUGCAGAAAAUCAAAAUGGUUUUCAUUUUCAUAAAGUUUCAAAAGUUUUUAUUUUUUGCUCUGUAAAUAGAACUUUAAUCACACACAGGAGGUACAGCAAGGUCUAGCAAGAACUUAACAUAGCAGGAGAUGAGAAAUUCUAAAUUAAACAGAAUUUACAAUACAGGAAGUGUAAACAUUAGAUGACUCUUUACAGGAAGUGUUUAGGAAGGCUGUGUAAUCACAUGCAGAGAGGUGUGACUAGGGAUGCAUCAAGGAAGAGAUUUAACUCCUAAAUGGCAGAGAAUUGAAUGGUGACACUGCAGUGGCAUGAUCUAUACACCAAAACUGCUUCAUUAAGAUAAAUAGCCGAACCGGAAUAAUUCUCUAAUUCAGCUAUGCUUUCAGGUCAGCUACUCUGGCACACUUUGAAUUGUCACUUUAGUAAAUAAACCUGACAGUGUUAUAAUAGUCAAUCCUUAGGAAUUCAAAGUGAAUCUAAAAUCGUGGUCAAAAUAGCUGAAUAGGAAAUAUUUUUCUCAUCAGCUAAAUUGUCAGUUCAAUUAUUCUGGCCUAGGAUUUGAAAUCCCGUGUGAAUUUCCCACAGUUCACAGAUUAGUAAAAUAACCAUCAGAAUUGUUUCACUAAACCAGGAAUUUUGGAGAACUAACAAAGGAACUGAUUUAUUUACUAUAUAGACUAGUCAAGCCAGAAAAUAUCUAUUUUGAAGAAAGUUUCAAGUAAUUUUUUCCUUUAAAUUCUCCACAUUUCUCACUGAAAAGCCGUGAGGUGACACAUGGCGAUCUUGCAAUUAUUUUUUUUUGCUUACGAUGCUACUUUGGACUAGGUUCUGCAAAUCAGUUGACAACACAUUACAAAUCUGUGUUUAGUGAAUAUUCUGCUGGGAACAGAAAUUCUUGGAGAGAAAUGUAGUUUAUAAGGAAAAGAUGCAGCAAAUCAUUCCUUAUUUCAUUUCUAAAGGCUGUGUCACCUUGGGGAGUUGCACUCGGUUGAAGAACAAUUUCACAAAGCUAUUUUUAGCCUACACCAAAAUGGAAAAUUUGUGCAUUACACAGAUGGAUCUGCUUGAAAAAAAAUAUUCAGCAAGAUAAAACAAAACAGCUAAAAGCUCCCCAUGUCAUCUGUUUUCAUGUGUUUCAUCUUGUCUCAAAUUUCGAAAGCAUUUUCCCUGUGUACAGUGCAGAAUACGUUUGCUUUUUUGGAAAUGAAAUGUUAAAGGGCUACUCCAACCUCGAUGACUGCUUCAGCUUUUAGACUCACCCAGAAGCGCUUGGUGAAGACCCGGAUAACCCCCACCGGCUUGGGGAGGGUGAGGGGGGGUGAUUAUGGGGCUCUUAUAGUCAGCAAGUAAAUUUGUGUAGCUCCAGACGGAGAGAUCGGCCACUUCUCCCGUCGAGGCUACACCAGGCCGCAAUAAGCUGGAGGCCUUAGCCACCGAACAACCAGAGUGGCGAAGUCUGUAGCCAGUACCAGAUUGCCCAGGAAGUACCAAGCGUAUGUGCCAGUGUCUGGGAAUCUAAUUGCAGGGUAGUUACACCCCUUAAAUUACUUGUAACACAGAUUAUUUCGGGAGCUCGAGCUGGCUGCGACUGUCCAGCUUGGUGUCCAAGCCCGGCCCCUUAACCCUGGCAUUUUAACAAAAUUCACUCAAUCAAAAAGUUUUUAAUCUUUUUAGGACUUAUCCCUUUUUACACUUGUCUCCAUCCAUUCAAUAAAAAGAGUACAUUUUUUAUAGUACAAAGAUCCAUUUCCUAAUUUUUUCAUCCAUGGGAAUGUGAAAUACCACUUCUAUAACUCUCAGUAGUCCUGGAUUGAGUGGGGCAGUCCUGAAUUAGGCCUCACGUCCCACCGGUUGCUUUCUCUGGUGUCCAUUUUUAGGGGAUCAAAUGAAUAUCCCCAAUAAUGGAAUGUGCGUCAGCACAUCAUUAGACACUUUCACACUUUGGACAAGCCAUUUAUUCUACACAAGAGCACAUUAAUAGAGCUCCUCACAUGGGCUUCCUUGCGUGAGGUGGCAAGUGCGAGUGACAGUCACCCCUGCAUGCGCAUUCUCUUAAUGGGGCUGUGCUAAUAGGCACUUGUCUGCCUGCCCUAUCAUUCAUCUUCAAUUUAUAUCUCCCUAUAUUUUAGGUAUGUAGCUUAUGUACCAAUGAAUGCGUUCUCUGUAGACCUAUGUAUUGGGGUGUCACCAUAUAAAUAUACACAUGCAUACUGACUGACUAACUCCCAAUAUAUAAUAUUUGUGAAUGUUGUUGUGUUUGAAGCUUUUUAUUUCUGUUUCUUUUGUAGAAACAGGUAUGGAUUUGUGUCUAUCCCUGAGUGAGCGUAGGUGAUUAAUUAGUGGUUGAGUCAUAUUGAUUGAGUCAUCUAGGAGUAUCCCGAAAUCCUGGCCCGUCAGUGCCCUUUUAGGAAUGGGUUGGAAACUCUGCUGGAAGACCAUGUGUAAAGUGUUUAUGAUUCAAUGAAUUGAAGCAACAAUGCAGUCAGUUGAUAAAGUCGAUUUGCAUGGAAAUGUAGUGAGUGUGGUACGUGGGCUGGACACUGCCCCUUUAACUGUCAUCAGGGAAACUCAAAGCACCAUCUUGUCAUCGCAAAGCAGCUCCUAUGCACAACUCUCCUGUCUUGCAGUGUGCAGGUUGUGGCAAACCAUUGAUACCCACAGACAGUCCUUUUUCAUGCUACUAAAUGCCUUCCAGUGUUUUCUUCUAGUAGACAUACCUGCCUUCUUGUCAUGGACCUGCCUGCUGUCACUGUCUUCUUGUCAUGGACCUGCCUGCUGUCACUGUCUUCUUGUCAUGGACCUGUCUGUUACUGUCUUCUUGUCAUGGACCUGUCUGUUACUGUCUUCUUGUCAUGAACCUGUCUGUCACUGUCAUCUUGUCAUGGACCUGCCUGUUACUGUCGUCUUCUAGUGGACCUGCCUGUUAAUGUCUUCUUGUCAUGGACCUGCAUGUUAAUGUCAUCUUGUCAUGGACCUGCCUGUUACUGUCUCCUUAUAGUGGACCUGCCUGUCAGUAUUUCUUACAUGAGCAAACUGAAUUUAAUGCUUUUUCUUUACUCUUCCUUUCUUAUGCAUUUUUUUUUCUAUGGGAAGCUAGUCAUAUGCUAAAAGCAUCAGCUGAAGCUCUCAGCCUAUCACCCAUGUUCAGUCCAAGGCCCUGGCUCUGACACCAAGCACUAUGCUAGAUGACAAGGUGCAGAAUGUAUGGGCACCAGUCGACACAAUAGUUUAACUCCAAGGUCUGGGCUCUGGCCCAGCUCGCUCCCCCCCCUCCCCCGUUCUUCUGCUUUCUGAAAUUCUUCAAAUGCUUCCCGAUCCGUUAUGAAGAAUAUACCUUAGGGUAAUCCAGCGCCAUGACCUCCUGGCACCAUAACAACUUCAUUUGAAUUAAGUUGUUAUGGUGCCCACACUGUUUCUUUAAUAUAUAAUUAAAGACGUGAUUAAUUCACAACUCUGCACAUGUUCUGGGUACAAUAAUAUGUGACACAUUGUUUCCCUGGCUAUAAUACCAAAUAAUGGCCCUUUCUGUUUGGUGCACUAUCACUUCUAUCUGGAAAAUGUGUUUUUACUCUUGUGACCCAGGCAUGAAAAAGAACCUAAUGGGUGGAAACAUUGGAUUGGCUACUGAGAUGGAAUAAAAUGUUACUGGAUGUGCUAAAGGAAUUGCAGUUUCAUCAUUAUCUAUACUUUUGUAGUUCUUUUUAGCUUAAGAACACACUCUUGGAAUAACAUCAUGUUUCUGGCUUUGGUCCUUGACCUAGAUUUUGAUUCUGCUGACUCUGACCUUGGCUAGUCCUCGUUACCCUAAUUUCUGGCCCUGACUAACUUUUAGUAUCCUGACACUGGCUAAUUAUAUGUUCAUGAUUGCCUCUUGUUUGUUUAUAACAGAGAUUACCCAAUAUGAGCACCUUCAAGAGAGCAUAUUGGUCUCAAUACAGGGAGUGCAGAAUUAUUAGGCAAAUUAGUAUUUUGACCACAUCAUCCUCUUUAUGCAUGUUGUCUUACUCCAAGCUGUAUAGGCUCGAAAGCCUACUACCAAUUAAGCAUAUUAGGUGAUGUGCAUCUCUGUAAUGAGAAGGGGUGUGGUCUAAUGACAUCAACACCCUAUAUCAGGUGUGCAUAAUUAUUAGGCAACUUCCUUUCCUUUGGCAAAAUGGGUCAAAAGAAGGACUUGACAGGCUCAGAAAAGUCAAAAAUAGUGAGAUAUCUUGCAGAGGGAUGCAGCACUCUUAAAAUUGCAAAGCUUCUGAAGCGUGAUCAUCGAACAAUCAAGCGUUUCAUUCAAAAUAGUCAACAGGGUCGCAAGAAGCGUGUGGAAAAACCAAGGCGCAAAAUAACUGCCCAUGAACUGAGAAAAGUCAAGCGUGCAGCUGCCACGAUGCCACUUGCCACCAGUUUGGCCAUAUUUCAGAGCUGCAACAUCACUGGAGUGCCCAAAAGCACAAGGUGUGCAAUACUCAGAGACAUGGCCAAGGUAAGAAAGGCUGAAAGACGACCACCACUGAACAAGACACACAAGCUGAAACGUCAAGACUGGGCCAAGAAAUAUCUCAAGACUGAUUUUUCUAAGGUUUUAUGGACUGAUGGAAUGAGAGUGAGUCUUGAUGGGCCAGAUGGAUGGGCCCGUGGCUGGAUUGGUAAAGGGCAGAGAGCUCCAGUCCGACUCAGACGCCAGCAAGGUGGAGGUGGAGUACUGGUUUGGGCUGGUAUCAUCAAAGAUGAGCUUGUGGGGCCUUUUCGGGUUGAGGAUGGAGUCAAGCUCAACUCCCAGUCCUACUGCCAGUUCCUGGAAGACACCUUCUUCAAGCAGUGGUACAGGAAGAAGUCUGCAUCCUUCAAGAAAACAUGAUUUUCAUGCAGGACAAUGCUCCAUCACACGCGUCCAAGUACUCCACAGCGUGGCUGGCAAGAAAGGGUAUAAAAGAAGAAAAUCUAAUGACAUGGCCUCCUUGUUCACCUGAUCUGAACCCCAUUGAAAACCUGUGGUCCAUCAUCAAAUGUGAGAUUUACAAGGAGGGAAAACAGUACACCUCUCUGAACAGUGUCUGGGAGGCUGUGGUUGCUGCUGCACGCAAUGUUGAUGGUGAACAGAUCAAAACACUGACAUAAUCCAUGGAUGGCAGGCCUUUGAGUGUCCUUGCAAAAAAAAGGUGGCUAUAUUGGUCACUGAUUUGUUUUUGUUUUGUUUUUGAAUGUCAGAAAUGUAUAUUUGUGAAUGUUGAGAUGUUAUAUUGGUUUCACUGGUAAUAAUAAAUAAUUGAAAUGGGUAUAUAUUUGUUUUUGUUAAGUUGCCUAAUAAUUAUGCACAGUAAUAGUCACCUGCACACACAGAUAUCCCCCUAACAUAGCUAAAACUAAAAACAAACUAAAAACUACUUCCAAAAAUAUUCAGCUUUGAUAUUAAUGAGUUUUUUGGGUUCAUUGAGAACAUGGUUGUUGUUCAAUAAUAAAAUUAAUCCUCAAAAAUACAACUUGCCUAAUAAUUCUGCACUCCCUGUAUACCACCAAUCUAGUGUAGAUACAUUUAUUUAGAAUAUAAACCAAAAGUUACUUACACACUAUCCCAAAUCCCUACACUUAUUUUUUUUUUAAAAACUAGAGGUUAUUUAGUAACUCCUAUGGCUAUUAGAUGUAAACCCACCUGCCAAAUCAAAGCAAACCUUUUAGGUGGGUUCUACACUAACAAUUCACCUUGAUUGCUUUAGCUUCAGACAAAGAAAUCUCUAAUGAGACAGAGAGGGGUAUUUUUUUAAACCCCUACAUACUUAUUAACAAUUAAUAGGGAACACAUAGGCUGGGCAGCAGCAUUGUAACAUAGCUGUGUGAUAAAAAAGUAAAUACAAAUACACAAAAAAAAGUCCUGCGCUCAAACUCUCACUACACCUGGGUGGCAGCAACGAUCAUAGCACUGUGCUAGAGCGUCGCUGGACGUCCUCACGCUGUGUGAGGACCUCCAACGUGUCACGUAUUCAUCCGCUUAUAGAAAUGUGGUUAAUGACAUUUACUGUCCACACAGGAAAAGUUGUGCCGAGCAGCAACCUAAUCCACAGAAGGUUUAAUGCUGAGCAGUAAUUGUGCAAAUGAAACCUGGUGUCAUAUAUUCAUCCGCUUAUAGAAAAGUGGUUAAUGACAUUUACUGUCCACACAGGAAAAGUUGUGCCGAGCAGCAACCUAAUCCACAGAAGGGUUAAUGCUGAGCAGCAAUUAUGCAAAUGAAACCUGGUAACUGACUUUGGGGUCAAAGGCCGGUUACAGCCUAUCAGAACUAAAGAAGGGGUAUUUAGGCCCAGUUCUCAGCCUGCUCAGUGCCCUUUUGUGGUUUCCCUUGUGGUUGUCCGAGAGCGCGUUCCUGUUUAUAGUUUUCUACCUGUUUUUUUUACUUUGGCUUUGUUUAUUGACUUCUCUACAUUCUGGUAUCCUGACUCCUGGCUUUCCUCGUCACUGUGUCCCUUUCUGUGUUCCCUGACCUCGGCUAGUAUUUUUGACUAUUCUUUGUACUUUAAAUCCAGCCAUUCUAAGGACCGGUAAUACGUUACUUAUUUGUCAUCCGUGCUGUGCAGUUCUACGUGCUGGAUCAAACAGUAAUCCUGACACAGCGUCGCUCAAUUCCCCACAUGCGCAUUAGGUUUCCUCAGCCGGCGGGCGGACGGGAUCUGUCUCGCCCACCAGCUGACGUGAUUACUGGGAGGAGCGACGCCGACCCGAAACCACCACGAGGAACAUCGUCGGGGUCUCAGGUAAGUUUUCACCCCUUCAGCUACCUGGGAUGGGAGGUGGGAGGGAGAGGGUACGGAUUGUUUUCCUGGCACUAGAGUUUUCCUUUAAAAAAAUGGAGGUUAUUUUGUAACAACAAUGGCCGUUAGAUGUAAGCUCCCCUGCCAUGUCAAGGUAAACCUCUUGUUGGGUCCUACAUUAACAGUUCACCUUGCUUCUUUCAGCAGAAAGGGAAAGGGUUAAUACAUGUUCAGGGGUUUAGAAAAACACCCCCCUCUGUCUCAUUUUGCUGCCCAGGAGUAGUGGGCGUUUGAGCGCAGGACUUAAUGUUGUGUCUUUACAUUUAUUUAGAACACAACUUGUCUACUGCCGCCAUUUCUAUACACUCUGCAGGGGUUAACACAUUAAUUCAAAGGACCACCUCAACUGCAAGCUUAGAGAACCUAAUCUCUGCUACAGACUCAUCUGUCCAGAGCCCCAGCUUUCUACUGCGUAAUUAUCUAUCGAGAACACCAUCAUUCUACUGCAGAAAUAUCUGUUCAGAGCACCAUUAUAUUACCGCGGAAAUAUCUAAUCAUAACAUCAGCUUUCUACUGCAGGAUUAUCUAUUGAGAACACCAUCAUUCUACUGCAGAAAUAUCUGUUCAGAGCACCAUUAUAUUACUGCUGAAAUAUCUAAUCAUAACAUCAGCUUUUUCUUGCAGGAUUACCUAUUGAGAACACCAGCAUUCUACUGCAGAUUUAUCUACUCAGAAUGUCAUGAUUCUACUGCCACAGUAUCUAACCAUAACACCAGCAUUCUACUGUAGAAAUAUUUAUUCAGAACACCAUCAGUCUACUGCCAAAAUAUCUAAUCAUAACACCAGCAUUCUACUGCAGAAAAAUCUAUUCAGAACACCAUCAGUCUGCUGCCAAAAUAUCUAUUAAUAACACCAUCAUUCUACUGCAGAAAUAUAUGUUCAGAACACCAUCCGUCUACUGCCAAAAUAUCUAAUCAUAACACCAGCAUUCUACUGCAGAAUUAUCUAUUGAGAACACAAGCUUUCUACUGCAGAAUCAUCUGGUCAGAAUGCCAUGAUUCUACUGCAGAAAUAUCCAAUCAUAACACAAGCAUUCUACUACAGAAAUAUCUAUUCAGAAUACCAUCAUUCUACUGCAGAAAUAUCUAUUGAGAACACCAGCAUUCUACUCCAACAAUAUCUAAUCACAUAACACCAGCAUUCUAGUGCAGAACAUAUAUCAAGAGCACUGUUGUUUUACUGCCGGAAUAACUAUUUAUGGAAUUCUAAACAGCUCCACCUUUCUACUGCAGGCACAGCUGAUCAGACAGCCAUUUUAUCCCUGGUGCUUCCAGCCAGAACACCAACACGGUUAUUCACUAAACACUGCAUUCUAACAAAUUUAAUUACAAAAAUGAAGCUAAUAUAGCAGGUUUACAAAACAAUCUCCAGCUUGGCUAUUUCAGUCUACAGUCCCAGCUUGGCUAUUUCAGUCUCAUUUUUGACAUUCAUAUCACAUUCGCAAAAAUUUGGUGUUAGUGAAUAACCCUUUAGUAAAUCAGCACUACCACAAACAUACACAGAACAUCUCCUGUCUAUUGCAGGUAAUCUUGGCAGAUAAUCGCCAUUCUACCAUAGGCAUCUAGAAAGCACUCUAUAAAUGUCUAAAUGCAACCAACCUUUACUUCGUAACAUUAUUAAUUCUCUCUAGAAAAUACUAUUCACUAUAAUAAGGCCUUGUUCAACUGAGGACGAAAGGGACUUAUUUAGCUGUAGGCAAGUCUUCAUUCCGUCUUGGCUCUAGAUCAAUAACUACAUUACCCUUGAUGCUGAAAGGUAUCCAGAAAAGUUGCUACAUUGUUAUUGGAAAGGAUUACUCAAAUGCCUCACAAUGUGGAAUCUUGUCCAUCAUUUCCCUCAGCUUCCUGAAGAAAAGCCAAAAAACCCUAAAACGUGUACAGAAAACAAAUGUGUUCAUCAUAAUUUCUCCUUUGAAAUACACUGAAUAAUACAUAAUCUUUUGCCCGUUUUCGGACCACACUUCUAAAAUAGAUGGACCUCUUUUACUAUCAGGUUGAAGUUAGAACAAAACUCAAUUUAGGGGUGAUGGAGCCUCAUCCAUAAGUAGAUAGCGGCUGCCUAAAGCCCAGGGAUUACCAGGGCCCAAGAACUUUGAAUUUGCUUGGCCCUAUUAAGCAUACCUUUGUGAAGAACGAUGGGGGGCCCAAACUGGUAACCUACCUACAACCACCCCGUGGGACCUUAAUCCUUCCCAUGAAGUCUACGCAAUGACCUAGAGGUUCCUUCCCUAAGCAAUGCAUUGAUAUUUAAAUAAACAUAAACUUAAAUUGCUAAAUUUGUGGAUUUUUUUCCCCAAAAAGGCUAUUUAAGUAUAAACUUUGUAUCCUGUUUGAAUACUUACACAGCUGUCUGUUUAUAGAGUGACUUUCCAUGUAAUUGUCAAUAUAACUGUUGCUAUGUAGGAGGAAGCACUAAGUAGGAACAGUGUGAUAAGUUGUGGUAUAACACAAGGGGAAACUGAUAAGGGUGGUUAUGCUGUGUAUAGGGACAAGUAUAAACACAGUAACGUUAUAAAAAUUGGAGAGGGCGUCUAGAGAAUCACAAAAAAAAAAAGAAAAAAAAAAAGGAUGAUGAUGGGACAUGUGAGUUUAAAAGGAUUUACUGCAGUUCCCAUAAAUGCAGCAAUAGAUUACUACCUACCUAUCUUGGUAUAUUAAUCCUGUCUGGUUUAUUUGGGGUUAGUUGGCAUUUAACUGUCAGGGGUUUUGCAACAAAUAAUCUAGCAAUACGUUUCAUCUUUGGAAACUGCCGGUUCAUCCUGGGUCUAUGGGUUUGCC